CUACGGAACUCCUACGGGAGGCAGCAGUGGGGAGUAUUGCACAAUGGGCGCAAGCCUGAUGCAGCGACGCCGCGUGAGGGAUGACGGCCUUCGGGUUGUAAACCUCUUUCACCCAUGACGAAGCGCAAGUGACGGUAGUGGGAGAAGAAGCACCGGCCAACUACGUGCCAGCAGCCGCGGUAAUACGUAGGGUGCGAGCGUUGUCCGGAAUUACUGGGCGUAAAGAGCUCGUAGGCGGUUUGUCGCGUCGUCUGUGAAAUCCCGCAGCUCAACUGCGGGCUUGCAGGCGAUACGGGCAGACUCGAGUACUGCAGGGGAGACUGGAAUUCCUGGUGUAGCGGUGAAAUGCGCAGAUAUCAGGAGGAACACCGGUGGCGAAGGCGGGUCUCUGGGCAGUAACUGACGCUGAGGAGCGAAAGCGUGGGUAGCGAACAGGAUUAGAUACCCCGGUAGUCCUCUUCGA
rnacentral:rRNA from 1 species